UCGACCUGAGCUCAGGCAAGAUUACCCGCUGAACUUAAG
rnacentral:rRNA from 2 species